UUCAGUUCCGAAAAUUUCUCAUCUAGCGGAAAUGACCACCAGCAUUGGGGAUUUUUCUUCAGUAAAUGAAAGAAUUGGUUAAGGCUUUUGAGAAACAGCAACCAGCACCAGCUUCUGGAAAUUAAUUUAGAAAAAAAAGUAAAAACUUGUGCAACCAGUUGAAGGCAAUAAUGGUGGUGGCAGUAGUGGAGUGGUGUAAAGCAGUCUAGUGUUUUGAUGUUUGAGUCUUUAAACCACAUUUGGAACUGUAUGAAAAUGAUCAUGACGAUGCCGAUCGUAUGUGUGUUGCUACUAAUAUAAGAGUUGAUGUGAAUCGAUAUUUUUGCAGUUAGUGGUUUAUUGUCCCUAUUAAGAAAUAUACCUAAACUUAAACAUAAAAUAUUGUCUGCAUGUUUUAAAAUAAUUUAAAUUUUUAGAAUUUAAAAUCAUUUUUUUAACAUUUUAAGGUCUGAUUAAUGUUUUAAAGUAAUUUAAUGUAUCUGUAGUAAAAAAAAAUAUAUAUUUUAGGGUUUUUGAAAUGUUGUUGUAGUAAUUACACUACGAAUAGCAUGGUGCUGUAUGCUUCAUGAAUAUUAAUUGUAUAUUAAAGGCUCUUUAAAGUCGAUAUCCUUAUAUUUAAGUACAUACAAGGCCAGUUAAAUAUAAAAAAGAAAAAUUUGUCUACACUUAAAAAAAUUAUUAUUAUGAUUCAAACAAAAUAAAUAUUAAAAAAAUUAAAUAUAAAAAUAUAUAUUUCACUUUAUUUAAA